rnacentral:lncRNA from 1 species
AAAAUUCUGAUGAUGUCUCAGCCACUGAGGAAGAAUAGAAUGAGAUGAAAACCCACAUCCUGUGAUUCUAAAACCCACACACUCUUCUCUAUAGCUAGUAGGUCUCUUUCCGGCACAAUGAGCUGACAGUAAAUCUAUCGCAUUUAUAAAAAUAAAAGACUCUUAUAAAAGAGACAAGGGCCUGGCCAUUCACCUAACGUCACUCCACUGAAAGGCGUGGGAAUUGUGUGGAUCUGGGAGCCAGGCUUGGGAAGGAGAAAACUCCUGUUGCUGCAUGUGAGCACCGUGGAUCCUCAGAGGUUCCUGCCCAGCAGAUGUAU